rnacentral:rRNA from 1 species
GAUGAACGCUGGCGGCGUGCCCAAUACAUGCAAGUCGAGCGAACGGACGAGAAGCUUGCUUCUCUGAUGUUAGCGGCGGACGGGUGAGUAACACGUGGAUAACCUACCUAUAAGACUGGGAUAACUUCGGGAAACCGUAGCUAAUACCGGAUAAUAUUUUGAACCGCAUGGUUCAAAAGUGAAAGGCGGUCUUGCUGUCACUUAUAGAUGGAUCCGCGCUGCAUUAGCUAGUUGGUAAGGUAACGGCUUACCAAGGCAACGAUGCAUAGCCGACCUGAGAGGGUGAUCGGCCACACUGGAACUGAGACACGGUCCAGACUCCUACGGGAGGCAGCAGUAGGGAAUCUUCCGCAAUGGGCGAAAGCCUGACGGAGCAACGCCGCGUGAGUGAUGAAGGUCUUCGGAUCGUAAAACUCUGUUAUUAGGGAAGAACAUAUGUGUAAGUAACUGUGCACAUCUUGACGGUACCUAAUCAGAAAGCCACGGCUAACUACGUG